rnacentral:rRNA from 1 species
UCGCCAUUUAAAGUGGUACGCGAGCUGGGUUUAGAACGUCGUGAGACAGUUCGGUCCCUAUCUGCCGUGGGCGCUGGAGAACUGAGGGGGGCUGCUCCUAGUACGAGAGGACCGGAGUGGACGCAUCACUGGUGUUCGGGUUGUCAUGCCAAUGGCACUGCCCGGUAGCUAAAUGCGGAAGAGAUAAGUGCUGAAAGCAUCUAAGCACGAAACUUGCCCCGAGAUGAGUUCUCCCUGACUCCUUGAGAGUCCUGAAGGAACGUUGAAGACGACGACGUUGAUAGGCCGGGUGUGUAAGCGCAGCGAUGCGUUGAGCUAACCGGUACUAAUGAACCGUGAGGCUUAACCUUACAACGCCGAAG